rnacentral:tRNA from 1 species
GGUUUGUGGCUCAGUGUUAGAACACUUGCCUUGCAUGUGUGAGGCCCUGGGUUCAAUCCUCAGCACCA